CCCUUAGAUGUUCUGGGCCGCACGCGCGCUACACUGACGAUGGCAACGAGUUUUUCCUUCGCCGAAAGGUGUGGGUAAUCUUUUGAAACAUCGUCGUGCUGGGGAUAGAUCAUUGCAAUUUUUGAUCUUGAACGAGGAAUUCCUAGUAAGCGCGAGUCAUCAGCUCGCGUUGAUUACGUCCCUGCCCUUUGUACACACCGCCCGUCGCUACUACCGAUUGAAUGGUUUAGUGAGGACUCCUGAUUGGCGCCGCCGCCCCGGCAACGGAGCAGCGGACUGCCGAAAAGUUGUUCAAACUUGAUCAUUUAGAGGAAGUAAAAGUCUUAACA
rnacentral:rRNA from 1 species